CUUUCCUGUGUUUCAGGUUCUUGGGGUCUGAAGCAAGAAGUUGCUCUGAGCAAGUGAUGAUGACUCCCUGGCUGCACUGUGAGCUCCUGCCAGCCAAUGAAAAGGUUUCUUGGCUUACCCGUUAUUUUCUGCUCCUGUUCUUUGGCAACAUGCUGCAGACACACAAAAAGGUGACUAUUCAUGGCCUGGCAGGUGGAAGAUUAAUUCUGACAGAGGAAGAAUUUCUUGAUGAAGUGACUUCAAAGGCAAAAUAUUGUGGAGGGGGAAGCAGGCAACACUUGUGUGAAAGAAGAAGAGGGAGGCUGUGCCAGUUGGCAUCAAGCACUAGAAGGAUAACCUUCGUCCUCAGGGCUGACACCAGCAGCUCAGCUUCAAGGCCAGGAACCUAAAAGGAGUUAACCUGGAGGUCACCUUCUAACAAUUUCACUACUCAGUCCAAAG
rnacentral:lncRNA from 1 species